AGAGGAGGGAAGUUCAACCAGCAGGUAAAAAUUAGUGGAAGGUACACAGAUAUAUUUUAGUAAGCCCAGGCUGCUUAACACCACUGUCUGGUGACAUAUAGGCUGAUUUGGCAGAAACACAAUAAUACUUAUGGAGAAGAUGAAACAUUAGAACAUGUUUUAUUACCGUUUCAAAACGUCAGUAGAGUGAAAGUUAAAAUGGAUUUUAACACUGAGAGCUUUAUGAACUAAUAGGAGGAUCAUAAAAGUAAACUGAAAGUAAAUUGAACUGGGAGCCAAUGAAGUGACUUCAGUGCUGCUUAAAUAUGUUUAAUUUCCUAUGUUUGUUUAAGGAGACUGCUUUAAGGAGGCUGAACUAUUUUUUUCUUCUUGAGGUAAGGCACCACUCCCUACCAGUUGGUUAAAAGCAAGCAGAAAAGCCUGUUUGGUAGGAUUUGUAUGCAAGAACGAAAAGGAGGAAGACACACUAUGAUAUUCACUUCAGCUAAUGACAGAGAACCUGAAGUCUCUUAAUGUUCGAACAAUGAUAAAUAUAACUCUAAGAAAACGCUACUUCCAGAUGAAGAGAGUCAACUUUUCGGAUAACAUUGAGAAAUCAUGAAGUUAUUUUUGUUGAUUGCCUUUUGCCACGGUUUAUUUGCAGUGAAACACUCACUGAAGAAUUUGGUCACCGGAUCCUAUGGCAUUCCAAUCAUUCCAGAUUUUGUGGGUGUGUUGUUAGUUGAUGACAUUCAGACAGGUUACUGUGACAGCAGUCAGAAAACAUUCAAAAUACAACACGACUGGGCAGAGGAAAUAUUAGAAAAUGACCCACAGCAGAAGGGCUACUAUAAUAUUAAAUGUUUUGAAGAUGAACCAAACAAGUUCAGACAGCUGAUUUCUAGUUUAAAGGGGGGAAGUGAAGGUUUCCACAUUUUACAGAGGAUAGAUGGCUGUGAAUUGGAUGAAAAUACUGGAGAAGUGGCUGGUGUGUUACAGUAUGGUCAUAAUGGAGAAGACUUUCUUAAAUUUGAUCUAAAA